AAAGUCGUAACAAGGUUUCCGUAGGUGAACCUGCGGAAGGAUCAAUACAAAUAGGAUUUGGUGGGAAAGGGAUGAUGUUUGUUUGGAUGUGUUUGAAUGUGAUUGGAUGUGUUUGGAUGGAUGUAAAAAUCUUGACAAUCGUAACAAUCGUAACAAUCAUUCAAGAACAACAACACCACACCCACACCACACAUAUGUUCGGGGAGUAAUCCUUGAAUACAUUAAUGCUUGUCUUGUUUGUCAGUUCUAUGUAAUGAAAAGUAUACAACUUUUAACAAUGGAUCUCUUGGCUCUU
rnacentral:misc_RNA from 1 species